AGGACGAACGCUGGCGGCGCGCUUAACACAUGCAAGUCGAGCGAGAACCAGUCCUUCGGGACUGGGGACAGCGGCGAACGGGUGAGUAACACGUGGGUAAUCUGCCCUCGAUUCUGGGAUAGCCCGGGGAAACCCGGAUUAAUACCGGAUAGCCUCUCGAGCUUUCGAGCUCGUGAGAAAAGGUAGCUUCGGCCUCCGAUCGAGGAUGAGCCCGCGGCGGAUUAGCUUGUUGGUGGGGUAAUGGCCUACCAAGGCAACGAUCUGUAGCUGGUCUGAGAGGAUGACCAGCAUCACUGGGACUGAGACACGGCCCAGACUCCUACGGGAGGCAGCAGUGGGGAAUAUUGGACAAUGGGCGCAAGCCUGAUCCAGCCAUGCCGCGUGGAUGAUGAAGGCCUUAGGGUUGUAAAGUCCUUUUAACGGGGAAGAUAAUGACGGUACCCGUAGAAUAAGCCCCGGCUAACUUCGUGCCAGCAGCCGC
rnacentral:rRNA from 1 species